rnacentral:rRNA from 1 species
GCCUACCAUGGUGGUAACGGGUAACGGGGAAUUAGGGUUCGAUUCCGGAGAGGGAGCCUGAGAAACGGCUACCACAUCCAAGGAAGGCAGCAGGCGCGCAAAUUACCCAAUCCCGACACGGGGAGGUAGUGACAAUAAAUAACAAUACGGGGCUCUUUCGGGUCUCGUAAUUGGAAUGAGUACAAUUUAAAUCCCUUAACGAGGAACAAUUGGAGGGCAAGUCUGGUGCCAGCAGCCGCGGUAAUUCCAGCUCCAAUAGCGUAUAUUAAAGUUGUUGCAGUUAAAAAGCUCGUAGUUGAAUUUCGGGAUUGACACAUCGGUCGUGCCUUAAGGGGUAUGAACUGGUGUAGUCAAUUUCUCACCUUCUGGAGAACCGCGAUGCCCUUAAUUGGGUGUCGCGAGGAACCAGGACCUUUACUUUGAAAAAAUUAGAGUGUUUAAAGCAGGCAUUUUGCUUGAAUACAUUAGCAUGGAAUAAUAAAAUAGGACGGCAUGAUUCUAUUUUGUUGGUUUUAGGAUCACCGUAAUGAUUAAUAGGGAUAGUUGGGGGCAUUAGUAUUCAAUUGUCAGAGGUGAAAUUCUUGGAUUUAUUGAAGACUAACUACUGCGAAAGCAUUUGCCAAGGAUGUUUUCAUUAAUCAAGAACGAAAGUUAGGGGAUCGAAGACGAUCAGAUACCGUCGUAGUCUUAACCAUAAACUAUGCCGACUAGGAAUCAGACGAUGUUAAUUUUUUAAUGACUCGUUUGGCACCUUACG